rnacentral:rRNA from 1 species
UAGAGUUUGCAUCCUGGCUCAGGAUGAACGCUAGCGGGAGGCUUAACACAUGCAAGUCGAGGGGCAGCACGAGGUAGCAAUACCUUGGUGGCGACCGGCAGACGGGUGAGUAACGCGUAUGUAACCUGCCCUGUACAGGGGGAUAACCCGGAGAAAUUCGGACUAAUAUCCCAUGGUAAUAUUGAAAGGCAUCUUUUAAUAUUUAAAGUUCCGGCGGUACAGGAGGGGCAUGCGUAACAUUAGCUGGUUGGUAAGGUAACGGCUUACCAAGGCGAUGAUGUUUAGGGGUCCUGAGAGGGUGAUCCCCCACACUGGUACUGAGACACGGACCAGACUCCUACGGGAGGCAGCAGUGAGGAAUAUUGGUCAAUGGGCGCAAGCCUGAACCAGCCAUCCCGCGUGCAGGAAGACGGCCCUAUGGGUUGUAAACUGCUUUUCCAGGGGGAGAAACUUACGUACGCGUUACGUAACUGACGGUACCCUGGGAAUAAGCAUCGGCUAACUCCGUGCCAGCAGCCGCGGUAAUACGGAGGAUGCAAGCGUUAUCCGGAUUCAUUGGGUUUAAAGGGUGCGUAGGCGGACUAUUAAGUCAGUGGUGAAAUCCUGCAGCUCAACUGUAGAACUGCCGAUGAUACUGAUAGUCUUGAGUUUGGUUAAGGUAGGCGGAAUGUGUAUGUAGCGGUGAAAUGCUUAGAUAUUACCCAGAACACCGAUUGCGUAGGCAGCUUACUGAGCCGACACUGACGCUGAGCAG